CCAGGGCGUGGCCUGCUCAGGGCUGCCACCAGAGGUGUACGCCGUGGUGGAUCUCUAUGGUCAGUGUGUCCAGGUGUCGCUGACCGGCGCCUCCGGCCCCGCCGACAACAGCCAGAGCCCGGGGGCGGGGCCUGACAAAGCCCCGCCCCCUUCACCAGCUCCGGGGCCGUGCCAGCGCUUCCACGGCCGCUGCGGGCAGAACGUGGCGCUGGCGGCCGAGGGCGCGGGCGCGGCGCGCGUGGCCGGGUACUGCCACGGGCUCGUCUUCAGCCGCUCCCACCUGCGCCCGGGAGAGCUCUUCGAGGUGGGC